rnacentral:rRNA from 1 species
GAGACUCUGUGCGCGUGCAUAUCAAUAAGCGGAGGAAAAGAAACUAACAAGGAUUCCCUUAGUAACGGCGAGUGAAGCGGGAAGAGCUCAAAUUUGAAAUCUUCAAGGUUCUACCUUGACGAAUUGUAGUUUAUAGAAGUGUUUUCUGUUAGUAGAGUGGCAAAAGUUCUUUGGAAUAGGACAUCAUAGAGGGUGAGAAUCCCGUAUUUGGUCAUUCUUUCUAGCUUUGUGAUACACUUUCAACGAGUCGGAUUGUUUGGGAAUGCAGUCCAAAAUGGGUGGUAAAUUUCAUCUAAAGCUAAAUAUUGGCGAGAGACCGAUAGCGAACAAGUACCGUGAGGGAAAGAUGAAAAGAACUUUGAAAAGAGAGUUAAACAGUACGUGAAAUUGUCAAAAGGGAAGCGUUUGACACCAGUGUUGUUUUUCCGAAAAUCAAUUACGAAUGUUUUGUUUUUAAGAAGUUAUGACUUCAUCGGCUUGCUUCUCUCUUUACGAAACUUUCUUAAUGCACUUUUCGGUUAACAAGUCAACAUCAAUUUCUUUUGUUGUAAAAGGGUAUGAGGAAGGUGGCUUUCUUUUCGGAGAAAGUGUUUAUAGCCUUGUACCUCUGCAAUCGGAGAGAUUGAGGUCUGCAGCGUAGAUCCUUCGGGGUUAGAUACAUUUGUGCUAAGUUAUAGCCUUUCAUAGACAACUUGUUGACUAUGAUCAGUCAUGUAGCUUACUCGCUUAUGCUAUUUUACCUACGCUUAGGAUGUUGAACUCUAUCACACACAG